GAUGAACGCUAGCGGCAGGCUUAACACAUGCAAGUCGAGGGGUAUAGCUCUUCGGAACUAGAGACCGGCGCACGGGUGCGUAACGCGUAUGCAAUCUACCUUUUGCAGGGGGAUAGCCCAGAGAAAUUUGGAUUAAUACCACAUAGUAUGUUAGAGUGGCAUCAUUUUAACAUUAAAUUUUCAACGGUAAAAGAUGAGCAUGCGUACCAUUAGUUAGAUGGUAAGGUAACGGCUUACCAUGGCGACGCUGGUUAGGGGUCCUGAGAGGGAGAUCCCCCACACUGGUACUGCGAGACGGACCAUACUCCUACGGUGGGCAGCAGUGAAGAAUAUUGGACAACGUGCGCAAGCCUGCUCCAGCCAUGCCGCGUGCAGGAAGCCGGUCCUAUGGAUUGUAAACUGCUUUUGUACAGGAAGAAACACUCCCUCGUGAGGGAGCUUGACGGUACUGUAAGAAUAAGCACCGGCUAACUCCGUGCCAGCCGCCGCCGUAAUAC
rnacentral:rRNA from 1 species